ensembl:lncRNA
ACCCUUGUUUCCCCCUACUGAACAGAAAGAUGUCCACAUUGUCAGGCAGGAUGUAGAUGGAACAUGCUGGUCUCUUAGAAAGACGUAGCAAAGAAGUAAAUCCCAGCCAGGGUUCCGAGCAGUACCAUCAAGCCUGGAGCUGGCAAAAGUCAGGAUGAGUACCUGUAUUUUGUUGGAGCCUUUUGAAAAGAGCCGGCCUGUUGCCACCAUGCUGAAGUUUCUGUAACUGAGAUGCAGCUGUGAAAUGAAUGGCCAAGAUGAAGGCAUUCAAGUGCCUCAAGGGCCACUCUGAAGUAGAAGAGAAAAGUAAACCGUGAAUAACCAGGAAAAAGAGAGAAAAAAAUAACCCAGAUGGAAGAAUACAGCUUGCAGUGAGGAUGUCUCUGUGACACCAGCUGAUGGCUUUGCUUGCUUAGAAAGAGAAGAAAGAACACAAUUAGAAGAAACUACACAACUUCGUAAAGUCAAAGCCUUUCCACCCCUUGUCUUCCCCUCCAAGUCAGUAAGAUUCUGCAUUAGAAAAGCACCACCGUUCACAAACUUACCAAGGGCUAAGAUUUACAGUGUAUGUUUAUUUGUAAUUAUGUCAAUUAUAUUUAUUUAUUUUUCCACAUAUAUUGCUAAGUUUUUCUUUCUAAAGUUCAAAUCACCUUUUUAUUAGUUAAAAGUUCUCUUUACUACCUGCUACUACAGGGAUUAGAAAAAGAAAUUAAAUUUAGGAUAGCAAAUAUCAUCACAGGCAGAGGAAUAUAACCUCCCUGCAAGCUUAAUUAAACUAGAAAAGAUGGUCUGAUAGCAGAUAAUAACACUGUUAACUAGACACCAAAGGUAGGAAUAGGCCUGCAGAAAAGGGCAGACUAUCAUUAUUAAAAUCUUUAUGCAGCAUGCUGACGUCCAGAUCCUGAUAGCACAGGAAAAGGCUUCUUGGGAUCUGACAGGAUAGAAAAUAGUAGAAUAUGUUAGACAAAUGCAUGAGAUGGAGGAAGCUAUGCUAGGCAGAAACAUGUCGAAAAUGUUUGUUUUGAAGCAUAGCUCUGGCAAACUGUUCUCAACAUCUUUGUUAUUGGUAAGGUUUGAAUAGCAGUGACUUAUCUCUUUUUUGGCUUCACAGUUUUAGACAAGAAGUGAAAUUAUGACCAAGUCUGACCCAUGGCUCCAGAGACAGGUGUCUCCUUCCUUUCGCUACGGGGAGUUUAAAAAGUCACACAAUUUCCGCUGACAUUUUUCUCCAUACGUAACAGGAGAUAAUUUCCUUCCUUCCUUUCUUUGUUUUGUUACUAGAGUCUUGACCUGGCAAAAAGCUCAAAUAUUUGAAGUUAUUACAUGGCAUACAAAAUAAAUAUAUCUGCUUUUGGAUGAUACAACACAAGAUUACUUCUUUGAUAAAAUUCUCCCUCACACUGUGUAUGUAGGUAUUCCAGAAGGCUGGCCUCUGAAACACAGGGCUUGAGACAUGACAGUUCUGUGUAGUGCAAAUUCUGCAAAUAAAACAGCCAGAAGAAAAUUCUCAAGAAAGUAUUUUAACUUUACACUUUCAGGGAACUCUAAUUAGGGCUUGCAUAACAUGUGAAGACCUUUCAAAGACUAAGUUUUUAUCUGUGGGAACUUUGCUUGCUGCCAUUGUAAAAUGGAAAUAAAGCUGUUCU